AGAUGUCCCAACAUGGCGGUAAAAGAAGCUGAUGAAGAUGACGACAUCGGUGAAGACAUUGAAGAUGUUGAAAAUGUGACUUUUAACAAAAGA